CUUGAUUGAGGUAUGAAUUUUGUUUGUUUUUUGAUAAUUUUUACGUUUUUGAGAUCGUUGCUUUGAAUACUUCAAAACCCAUGCCUUAAUUUUUUGAAUUGUUGAUGAUUUUGAAAUGUGCCAUUGAUGAAUGUUUGAGUUUCAUGAUUUUAGUUGAUGAAAUAUGAAAUAUAAUUUUUAGAUUAACAUGUUUUGUCUUUGAAUUUUUGGUGAAUUUGAGUAAUUAGGGCUAAAUUGAGAAAAUAAAUUUUUGAAGGACUAUAAUGUGAAAUAAAUGAAAUGCAUGAGCUUGUAUAGACACUAGGAAUAUUCGGUCCUUAAGGAGUGUAGUCAAAAUUGGUGUAUUUUGUGUUUUGAGCAAAAAUGAUUAAAUUGUAAAAAGUGUGAAAUUUUAGGGGCAAAAUUGUAAUUUGCCCAGUCAUGUGUUUUUAGGGUAAAUUGAAUAGAAUGGUGUUUAAAUAAGCUUAAUUUGAAUAUUUUUAGAUCAAGAAUUUAAGAAAUCGAAUUUGGAUCGGGGAAAGACAAAAGUGGUUGAGUAGCCGAUUUAGCAGUCGACGACAUCCGAGGUAAGUCGAUAAGCAUUUAAAUGUUGUUAAAUUCAAGAAUAUAUAAAUGAUAAGUGAUAAAUUAAAUUAUUUAUUUGUUAUAUGUUUUGGCCGAAAAUUAUUAUUAAGAUAGGAAUUUUCUUUCGAGUUCGAUUCGAUCGAUAAUCA
rnacentral:lncRNA from 1 species